rnacentral:rRNA from 1 species
GACGAACGCUGGCGGCGUGCCUAAUACAUGCAAGUUGAGCGAUGAAGAUUGGUGCUUGCACCAAUUUGAAGAGCAGCGAACGGGUGAGUAACGCGUGGGGAAUCUGCCUUUGAGCGGGGGACAACAUUUGGAAACGAAUGCUAAUACCGCAUAACAACUUUAAACAUAAGUUUUAAGUUUGAAAGAUGCAAUUGCAUCACUCAAAGAUGAUCCCGCGUUGUAUUAGCUAGUUGGUGAGGUAAAGGCUCACCAAGGCGAUGAUACAUAGCCGACCUGAGAGGAGGAUCGGCCACAAUGAGACGCGGAUCCGACCCAAACUGCUACGGGAGGCCGCAGUAGGGGAUCUUCAGCAAUGGACGAAAGUCUGACCGGGCAACGCCGCGUGGGUGAAGAGGAUUUUCGGAUCGUAAAACUCUGUUGAUAGAGAAGAACGUUGGUGAGAGUGGAAAGCGCAUCAAGUGACGGUAACUACCCGGAAAGCGACGGGUAACUACGUG